GAUGAAGAACGUAGCGAAAUGCGAUAAGUAGUGUGAAUUGCAGAAUUCAGUGAAUCAUCGAAUCUUUGAACGCACAUUGCGCCCCUUGGUAUUCCAUGGGGCAUGCCUGUUCGAGCGUCAUUUGUACCUUCAAGCUUUGCUUGGUGUUGGGUGUUUGUCCAUUCUCUUGCAGAGGGACUCGCCUUAAAGUAAUUGGCAGCCAGUGUUUUGGUUUUGAAGCGCAGCACAAGUCGCGAUUCAAAGCUAUACGCCCGCUUCCACAAGCCUUUUUCACUUUUGACCUCGGAUCAGGUAGGGAUACCCGCUGAACUUAAGCAUAUCAUAAGCGGAGGA
rnacentral:misc_RNA from 1 species